rnacentral:tRNA from 1 species
UCAUGAUGAGGUCCAUCGUUCAAUCCGGUGUGAGGGCAGCCCUUAUAGCUCAGUGGUAGAGCGCAUCACUCGUAUU